rnacentral:rRNA from 1 species
GGGAAUCUUGCGCAAUGGGCGAAAGCCUGACGCAGCCAUACCGCGUGGAUGAUGAAGGUCUUAGGAUUGUAAAAUCCUUUCAGCGGGGACGAUAAUGACGGUACCCGCAGAAGAAGCCCCGGCUAACUUCGUGCCAGCAGCCGCGGUAAUACGAAGGGGGCUAGCGUUGCUCGGAAUUACUGGGCGUAAAGGGAGCGUAGGCGGGUCGUUAAGUUGGGGGUAAAAUCCCGGGGCUCAACCUCGGAACUGCCUUCGAUACUGGCGACCUUGAGUAUGGGAGAGGUGAGUGGAACUCCGAGUGUAGAGGUGAAAUUCGUAGAUAUUCGGAAGAACACCAGUGGCGAAGGCGACUCACUGGCCCAUUACUGACGCUGAGGCUCGAAAGCGUGGGGAGCAAACA